rnacentral:rRNA from 1 species
UACGUAGGUGGCGAGCGUUAUCCGGAAUGAUUGGGCGUAAAGCGAGCGCAGGUGGUUUAUUAAGUCUGGUGUAAAAGGCAGUGGCUCAACCAUUGUAUGCAUUGGAAACUGGUAGACUUGAGUGCAGGAGAGGAGAGUGGAACUCCAUGUGUAGCGGUGAAAUGCGUAGAUAUAUGGAGGAACACCGGUGGCGAAAGCGGCUCUCUGGCCUGUAACUGACACUGAGGCUCGAAAGCGUGGGGAGCAAACAGG